GAGGGUAUAGCUCAGUGAUAAAGUGUAUGCCUAGUAUGCAUGAGGUCCUGGGUUUGAUCCCCAGUACCUCCA
rnacentral:tRNA from 1 species